GUGGAGCCAGGAUCUACCCCUUCCCAGACCUCAUUCAAGGGUUGACAGUGGGGGUAAGGGUGUUUCUGGUUGGAGAUUUCUGCUGUCUUCUAAAGGACAACUGAUAGGUGCACUUACACAUGCCAGCAUGGGAAUUCUCUCUUUCUCUGACCUGAAUUUUCAGUUCCACACUGUGAAACUCAUUCACCAGGGAUACCAGUAGCUUUGAACUAUUUGCAGCAGAAUAACCAAGAGGUGCUCAACCCAAACAAGUAACAGUGCCUUCCUCUGCCCCUUGGCUUCUGCACCCUAAAACAGAAUGGUAAAAUAGCUUUGCUUUACCAUCAAGACAGCCAGUCAGCUGUAAACAGUUCCACAGAAGCAUAUCCCAGCCACAGUGACAGUGCUCACAGUCCCUACCUCCUCCUCCCAGAUGUUUGUUCUCCUGCAGCUCAGACACCCAGGCUCUCCAAAAUGUUUACUCCACCUGCAUUUUCCCUGAUGACUGCCCAAAAACUGUCCUCCUCAGCUGUCAACAGCUCUCAAUACAUCCUGGACAAGCUGACUAAACAUCCUCUUUUCUUUCAUGCUAUAUGCCAGCAAUCAUGGCCACACAGCGUUAUCCUUCAUCCUGUGACUGCUCCUUCUGGGUUUUUGUAACAUUAUGGUCUGGAGGGACCUGCGUCCUCAAGCUCAUUUGCUCCUAGCUCUGAACUCCCAGCCUCUGAAUGCAUGGGGAGCUCAGAGCCUUAACUCACCAAAGUUCUCUCCUGGAGUUGAACAGUGUGAACAUUUGUUGCAGAACUGCCUUCUGGUAUUAAGUAAAGCUGCAGUGCAUGCCUUUUCUCUUAUUUUCAUGGCUCAUAUAUGAGGAUCAUUAGGUUUAUUCAUUUCUGAUCAGAAAUGGGCUGAAACCGCAGCUCCUCACUUGGAUUCUUUGGGGGACACCUAGGAUUUUUGCACUGAACUUUGCAGAAAGUCCCAUAAACAGCAUUCUAGUGGUGGACACUGAUGGUUUCAUUUUUUUUCUGGCUCAAGAGAGCACUCUUCCACUUGAAUAAAUGUGAAGGAAGCACAGCCUUAGGAAAGCUCUCUGUCAAUGAAAACAAAAGCCUAAGAAGUGAAAGGCCAUCAUAAGUCUCGCAGUCUUCCACUCCAAGUGUGAGACUUGCUUUGUGACCUUGCUUUAUCCAGUAUUCAACAACAUGUGCAGACAAAACCAGAAAAAGUCCCUAGGAAAACAAGAGGCCUGGCGCCGCAUCCUCCUCCUCCAUGGGGAGAUGAUGAGAGAACAAAGAACAUGUGAUGGAUGUGAGACACACCACAUAAUGUGAUGUCCUCAGAUAGUCAGAUGAGUGAAUAUCCAAGCUUCAACAGGACAGAGCAACACCUGAAUUGCUACAGGAGAUUUCAAUGGGAGGUGAAGAUGCUGGGAAAAUGAGGGAAACGUCCUCCAGUUUGAAUUUCAGAAUUAGAUGAAUUCUGAGUUUGAAGGAACACAGUGUGCUGGGAAGAAAAGAGAGAGCAGGUUAAUCUUCUAUAAUGCUUUCUGUAUGAAAGGAAGGAAAUAUCUUAAUAGCAU
ensembl:lncRNA